rnacentral:rRNA from 1 species
AUUGAACGCUGGCGGCAUGCUUUACACAUGCAAGUCGAACGGUAACAGGCCUUCGGGUGCUGACGAGUGGCGAACGGGUGAGUAAUGCAUCGGAACGUACCCAGAGGUGGGGGAUAACGCAGCGAAAGCUGUGCUAAUACCGCAUGUGAUCUGAGGAUGAAAGCGGGGGACCGAGCAGCAAUGUUUGGCCUCGCGCCUUUGGAGCGGCCGAUGUCGGAUUAGCUAGUUGGUGGGGUAAAGGCCUACCAAGGCGACGAUCCGUAGCUGGUCUGAGAGGACGACAAGCCACACUAGGACUGAGACACGGCCCAGACUCCUACGGGAGGCAGCAGUGGGGAAUUUUGGACAAUGGGCGCAAGCCUGAUCCAGCAAUGCCGCGUGAGGGAAGAAGGCCUUCGGGUUGUAAACCGCUUUUGGCAGGAACGAAACGGUGUCCGCUAAUACCGGGCGCUAAUGACGGUACCUGCAGAAUAAGCACCGGCUAACUACGUG